ACUGCAGGCCUGCCCUGGCAGGCAUCUUGCCCAGGGCUUGCUGCAGCUCGUGUUCCUUUAAAGGCCACCCCACCUUGUCUUUGCUCCCAACCACAGCCUGCUGCUGGCUCCAUCCCAACCUGCCACAGUGCUGAGGUGACUGUGGGCUCUCCUCCAGGCUACCUGAGUAAUGCCAUGGCCUCCCAGGGAGGGAAAGCUAAUUCCCAACCCCCUGCACUGGGGUCCCCUCCAGGGAUGGGAACAGAAGCCAGGGCAGCAACUGCCGGGGCUGCCUGCCUAGAGUGGGGAAUACUGUAGUAAUCCCCUCACACUCCUCAAAGAUGCGUUUACCCUGAAGCAUAAUGAUGGCAGCUCCAUAUUAGCUGCAUCACUGCUAAGCAGCUAAUCGGAAAAAGACAGCGCCUCCAGCCUCCCUGCUCCCUCCAGCAUAGUGCGAUGCCAGCCCCCCUGGACCUCCAAGGCCAUCACGGAUGGCACGAGGGGCAAAUUCACCCCUCAGCAACACGGGCUGAAGACACCUGAGGAGAAGUCUCCGCAGACAUAGAGCAGGCACUAGCAGUGUCUGCUCUGCUCCUUGCCGGCGAAGGCCGACGUGGGCUGCUCUUCAGAAAACUCAGUCCCCGGUGCUCAGCAAAACCCAGAAUAUGACUCAAGUUUCCUAUUUGGUGCUGUGCAGCCUCAUCAGAGCCUCCCAGGGCUGCACGCCUCGUGGCUGUCCCCCGCAACAAGUCCAGCCACCCUAGUGCCAUGCGACAGAGCUCCCAGUGUCCCUCCACACCCAGCAUCAGGGCACCGGUGGUAUCCUCUUCAUCUCUGCUGGAGGGCCGGCUGCACCGCAGCUGUCACUACUGUGCUUUGGCACUGUUUGUUUCCAGGUGGCUGCCUGGGAAAGGCCUCAAACUCCAGCGAUGGGGGCUGAGGGCCAGGAUGGAGGGGCAUCGGCAGAGCUGCUGAGGGGGCCUUAAGACUGGGGUAGUGAGGAUGGGGCUACAGUGCAUCAGCCAAGCAGGCCAGGUGGGAACGAAGCUCGGAAAGGACUGGCCGGUCAAGCUGGGAAUGCACAGGGACUGGAUUUAAGGAGGAUGCAGGGCAGCCCCGGCAGGGCUGGAAGGUGGCAGGGUGGAGCCGGGACUGGAGGAGCAUUGCUCCAGACAGCAGGGCAUGGCAGAGCUGCGUGGGCGAAGGGUGCAUGCGCUGCCUGGCUGGGCCGGGGCUUUCCAUCCCUCCCUGGAUGAGCGUGGAAGGACUCCAAGCAAUCAAAGGCGAUUCUGGCAGGCGACGCAGCAGCUGGAUUCUGUUAUCCCACUCCCAGCCAUGGACCCGAACACGGCUCCUGUCAUCCCUGGACCCACACGCCCCUCCAGCUGGAAGCAGAGCAGCAUCCCGCACAUCCCACUUUCAUGUGUCAGCGCAGCCCCUGGCCCGGAGCCUAGCUGCAAACCCCACCGCAGGAAAGGCGAGAGGACAAAGAAGGGCUGGAUGUAAAUGCAGCCGGAAGGGCGGGGAAGGUUACCCGAGCGCUCUGGACACAGCCAGCCCAUGCCAACCCACGGGGGGAAGCUGUCUGCACAAGAGGCCCCCUGAGACGGAGCAACAAAGGGUGGAGACCUUCUCCCAGCCAGGCACCGUCUGCCUUGGCGACGCCGAAAGAUUUAAUGCCUGUCUCCUGUCUCACACAGCAGGGGCCAGUAAAACCUGCAGGGCAAAGCCCGGCUGCAGGGAGACUUGAACCCUCCACAUCCCACAGAGCCAAACCCCACUCACCCUUUCCUCUGUGCCCCCAGAGCAGCUGCUGGGCUGGGGCUCCUCUGCUCUGGGCACGGCACAGAUGCAACGCAGAGGCAUCUCACGGAGGGCAUAUCACAGACAAAGGGCUUUGAAGGCCUGGACCAGUGGCGCACGCAAGGAUGGCCGCUACCUGCCCACCGCCACAAAGGGAGGUCACAUUAGAGCCCAGAGCCGACUCUCUCGAGGCUCAGGAUAGGGUCUCCACCAUGAGGUUGCUUCCCUUUCCUGCUCCAGCACCACCAGCUUGACUCACCUCUAUCUGAUUCUCCGUGACAGUCAUUUUGGCUCUCCGUCCUGCCAGAAGGCAGGCUCCCUCCCAGCACCUGCUUGACUAUUGAGCAAUGCUGUGUGGGGGCAGGAAAGACAUUCCCUCCACCCUGCCGGCUUAGCCCCACAGCCAGAGAUCUCCUUACCCCCGUUGUUAUCAACUCAUAGUACUCAGAGAAGAGACGGAGCUCUUUGAUCACCGAGUGCCUGUAGCUCUCAGCCUGCAGGUUAUUAAUGGCCGUAACAUUAGCUGACCCCAGUUAAAAUCUAGCCACAGGAUUUGGCUCCAUCUCCUCAGAGCCCGACAGCAGAGCUAGCACCAGCUCCUACAUUUCCCUCUCACUGGAGAGUUGGUGCGUACGGAAACAGCACUCCCAGCUGAUGGCCACAGACAUCUUGACCUGAGCAAGGACACUUGGGCUUGUCAGUACAGCAGCAAAACAUCUCCAGCCUUUUUGCACCCAAGAUCCCGCUUUGCAUCAAGGGAGAAGUGUCACGAUCACCCCUUCACAGACAAACCCAAGGGAGAAGCGACUGGCCUGAAGGCAGCAGCUGGGACCAGAACCCAGUCUGACCACGUGCCAGGCCACUGGACCUUGCCGGGUGCCAGCGGUCACUGUAAAUGAGGCCUCUGUUCCACAAGCAAAACACUCCAUGCUGCUCCCCCCAUCGCACGCCCCCACUCCUCCUUCUUCCAGAAAAAGCAGAAAGGAGGGCACGGAGCCAGAAAGAAGCAGCUUUGGACUUGGAAGGAGCUCAGCAGACCAAGGAGGACGAGGGGCUGAAAGGCCAGAAGCUUUAAAGAGACAUGUCCACGGCGCUGGCCACGGGAUCCGGGAGGGAAGGGCACCACCGCCCAUCCGGUCUACCAACAAAAGCGGUUUUCAUGUAGACACAAAGUCCAGGGGGGGACUCAGAUCUGACUGCUGUGCCUUUCUGCCCAGGACCUCGCAGCCCCCAAAUUACUCUCACCUGGGGUCACGUAUCAGCCCCAAAAAGAGGACACUGCAGUGAAGAAGGGUUGAAUCACCUAAGAUCACCUAUGGAGUCCCUGGGCUUCCCCCCAUCCCUCCUUGCAGCUGCUUGUUCAGGAGGAGAGAUCACUAAGCCCUCUCCUUUCCCAUUCAGCGGCCCCUUUGCCAAGGCAAACGCCCUGAGCACAUCUGGCUCUGGCGGAUCAGAGGCAGCUAACGAGCCCCUCUGUGACUGGAUCCAAUCCUGCCAUUGCACAAAGCGGGCCCGGGUGGCUCCCAGACAGAACCUCCUUGCAACCAUCCGCACCGAGCUGGACACAGAAGAGCCAGCAGAAUCCUCCAGCAACUUGCAGAGGCCGGGACAGCGAACACACAGGCCUGACUGACAAUCACACGUCCAGCACAGCACGCUCCUUGUCAGGAACCCCACAGAACAGCAUGGCGUAGCUUGCUGGCUGACGGGCAUGAAAAGACUAUCAUCAUCUGGCUCAUUUCCAUCCUGAGAUCCCGCAGCACUGUUGAAAGGUCGGUGUGAUUAUGCCCAUUUUACAUAUGGGGAAAUCAAGUCAUAGAGAAGAAAGGAUUUGCCCAGUGUUAGCCAACAAAUCAGUAGCACAGCCGGGAUUUGAACCCAAGUCCACUCAGUCCCACUAAGCCUCUGACUCCUCCAUUUGCAAACAUAACUGAAUUCAGACUAAGGUGCAAACUGUUUCCUGACUUCGCCCCUUGCACUGGCCACAGUGACCCACUGGAGUUCAGUGGGGUUGUACACGGCCCAAAGGGCCUGAAAAUGGUAUGCAUGAGAGAGGAGGUCAUUUAGGACUCAUUGACACAAGCUGCUCCUGGGAUCACGUGUGGCUCUGGGCUUCUGCAUUUCCCUGUUCAUUCAAAGACAGCAUGUACAGUCCUGGCCCCAUGGAAGGGAGAUUUCACAGUGCAUUGUCUGGGAUCAUUAAUCUAGGAAGAAAGGAGUGAAACUGCCACUCCAGAUCAGACCGAGGGCCCAUCCACACUUGGUCAACCCCUGAGUGACCAGCACCAGCUUCUCCAGAGGACGCUGCAGGCAAUCAAAAAUGGGCUUUCUCCUCCAUUCGUUUUAAAGCAAAGGGCUGGGCCAACUCCUGUUUACCUGCUUGUACUGGACAAACUGGGAAAUGCCAAUCCAGGGGGUCUGUAUGUCAGAGCAAACCCAGGAGAUGCGAGAAUAACUUAGAGGACAGGCUCCUUACAGCAUCUGCCAGGCUGCAGCUGGGCUGGUCUUACUCCUUUUCUUAAGUCUCUGCUGGGCACAGGUAUGCCAGUGAGAAAUGGCCCUGGGUACACUAGCAAUCAUGCAUGCAUGUUGUAGGCGCUGUCCAGAACCUGCUGCCCAACAGAGAGAGAACAAAGCGGUGGAGAGCAGUGGGUGCAGCAAGAGAGCCAGCCCCAGCCGCUGGCCCCGCUCUCCUGCCUGCUUUGUGCUCCUUGGCAGAACGUGGCCCUGUACUCGGUCCAAGAGAAGGAAGCGUCUCUGGCCCCGGAAGCCCAGCACUGGGGCAUUGUUUGUUUGUGUGCAGCUGGAAUCAUUGAGAACCAUGCAGCCAUUUCCUCACCGGGGGCUGAAUCCUCCCCUCUGUCCCCUCGUGCGUGCAAAGGGAAUGGAACUGGAGGGCGGGGGGAGGUCUAGCCUAGCUGGCAACUCAGGGAGGCAGAACCCCCCUUGGAGCAGGCCGUCCACCCAUGGCAGAGGCGGCUGCAGCUCCGCUUGGCUUCUCUGGAGGUUUGUCCUCUGCCAGGUUUGCAAGCAGUCCGUGCGCCUCAUCAGUGCAGAGACGUCAGGCUGUCAAGUAAGAACUCAUUCAGCAGAUUCCAUGCAUACCUGCCCCAUGCGUCUGCUGGGGCACCGAGCUAACACCUGUUAGCUGCCACCUUCGCAGGGCGGAGGCUUAUCACAAGCACCUCAAUCCUGGGAGAAGCCCAGAGCACGUUUGGGCUCCACUGCCGUCUCCUGGAGAGACCUGCAACAGCUUGGCUGUGUCCUACGCCCUCCAUCGCUGAUGGAGCAAGCAGCUGGAGCCCAAAAAGGCAAGAGCGCAAGGACUCAGGCUUGUGCAUGGAGUUCUGCAGGGCCGCAGGCUGGAGCACAGUUGGACCGUGAGGAAUGGAUCGAUCACGUUUACAGCCAACAUUUGCAUCUGGAGCUUCUUCACAACCAUAUUCCAGUGGCUCCGAAGGCUCACAUGCACAGUGUUGAAAGAAGAGCCCUUUGUACAGGUCUGGCUCCAGUCAACUCGCUGCACAGACACCGCACAGCUUGUGGGAGAACCUGUAAUGCAGUCAGGGGGUCAAAUCCAAACCACGUUUGCAGCUCUCGAUGGUAGCAUGGGGAGCCAGAAGCACAUCUUUGAGGCAGAACUGGGCCCAAAAUACUCCACAUGGCAACUCUAAUGAUAAAACACAGGGUGUGAAAUGGCAGCUGGACUCUGCUACUUUGAAUUCUUAGCAGCAUGUUGGAGGUCUUCAUGCGUUGAGUUGAGUCUGGUGGAGCACUACCAAGACACUACUGGGUACAUUUAACUCUGGAACUGCAACCACCAUGUGUACAGCAGCUUUAAAAAUGUCCCCUCAUCUCAGUGGACCAAAACCAGCCAGUUCUAUUCCCAGGGCUGUUGCCCCCAGUUACAGGAUGAUACACAUAGGAUGCGCUCUCUCAUGGAAACCUUAUUUUUGUUCUUCCUUUUAGCCAUUUUCCAUUAUCUAAAAUAAAAGCCAUUUCACCAAAUUGCUCCCUCUUCAUGCAUGAAGGCAUCAGCACACAAUCAAGAGGCAGGCCCCCUUAACAAUCAUGAAACUGACUUUAAAAAGGAUGAAAUUUUGGAAAAUAAUGUGGCUGGGAUUCUUUAGAUUUGCUUCCAGGUGUUGGAUCACCCAGGGAGCUGCUUUCUCAUGCUUUCCUCCAUGACCACAAGGGCCAGGAACUAUCCUUGAAAUGAAAGUCAAGGUUCUCAGGCGACAACCCGAUUCCGGCAGUGAAAGCUCUAAGGACCACGCCGACCGCGAGAAGAUGCUUUUGAAGAGAGAGAGCAA